GACGAACGCUGGCGGCGUGCUUAACACAUGCAAGUCGAACGGAAAGGCCUCUUUCGGGGGGUACUCGAGUGGCGAACGGGUGAGUAACACGUGAGUAACCUGCCCUUGACUUUGGGAUAACUUCAGGAAACUGGGGCUAAUACCGGAUAGGAGCUCCUGCUGCAUGGUGGGGGUUGGAAAGUUUCGGCGGUUGGGGAUGGACUCGCGGCUUAUCAGCUUGUUGGUGGGGUAGUGGCUUACCAAGGCGUUGACGGGUAGCCGGCCUGAGAGGGUGACCGGCCACAUUGGGACUGAGAUACGGCCCAGACUCCUACGGGAGGCAGCAGUGGGGAAUAUUGCACAAUGGGUGGAAGCCGGAUGCAGCAACGCCGUGUGCGGGAUGACGGCCUUCGGGUUGUAAACCGCUUUCGCUCAUGACGAAGCUUUGUGUGACGGUAGUGGGUAAAGAAGCACCGGCUAACUACGUG
rnacentral:rRNA from 1 species